UCAUAUGGAUGAGCAAAGAGUAGUGUCUUGCGAUGGAAUCUACUCCUGGUGAAGAUGCUGUGAA
rnacentral:pre_miRNA from 1 species